CCCAUGUAGGUCCUUCGAUGCCCUGCACCUGCCCGGAAUCGAACACGCAGCGGCCGGAAACAUAGUUGCUCGGGCCCCGCACAGCCGCCCUCUUCCCUAUCAAUUCUGCCGCCUCCGCAAAGCUCCCCUGCCUCUGGCCGCUGCGGCGAGCAGUCACGGGCCUGGCUCGAGCUCCCCAUCGCAGCCACAAGCCCGCAACCUCCACCACCUCCUCCCCAUCCUUCUAGUACACUCCGUCAUAUAUGUUCCACCAGCGUCCAGCCCAACUCCGGUCAUAGUUGAGCGUGGUGCACAGCAAUUGUUCGACGAAAUUCCUCCAAGGUUUCGAGAGGUGCUGAUCCUUGAUUGUAUGGAUCAAGAGAAGAGCCGGAGAGGCGAGCGGUGAAGCAAUCAAGCAGAGGGAAGGAGCAGGUUUGAGGAAGAGUUGGCUGGAGAAGGCUAAUGCCUUUAUUUAGAGCAUCUGCAUCCAGGAAGUGUAUUUAACCAUCUAGGGCAGCUCAACUUAUCGAUACGUACAAAAGCAUCCAGGGACCAGGAACCUGCGUCGACUAGCUAUAGAGUUUUCUUGCAAAUGAAUAAACAAACAAUGCCACCCAACGAUCAACGACCUUUGAUUUGAGUGAAUUUUAUUGUUAAUGGAACAACUCGGUUGAGAGGUUCGUUGAA